rnacentral:lncRNA from 1 species
AUUACUGUCUUUUGUUUCGGUAAAUAUGUGGUUUUAUUGACUUUUGAAAAACUGAUAUUCACUUCGGCCGUUGGCCUCAGUGAAUAUCAGUUUUUUCAAAAGUCAAUAAAACUACACAUUUACCUCAUCAAAAGGCAGUAAUUGUAUAAUAUUGCAUGGCUGCAUGUAAUUAAUGUGACAAGCUCAUAAAAGAAUAUCAGAUUCAGUAAGGGUAAAUAUUGCAUGGCUGCACGUAAUUAAUGUGACAAGCUCAUAAAAGAAUAUCAGAUUCAGUAAGGGUAAAUAUUGCAUGGCUGCAUGUAAUUAAUGUGACAAGCUCAUUAAAGAAUAUCAGAAUCAGUCAGGGUAAAUAUUGCAUGGCUGCAUGUAGUUAAUGUGACAAGCUUAUAAAUGAAUAUCAGAUUCAGUAAGGGUAAAUAUUGCAUGGCUGCAUGUAAUUAAUGUGACGAAUUCUUAAAAGAAUAUCAGAUUCAGUAAGGGUAAAUAUAUAUUGCAAGGCUGCAUGUCGCUAACAUGACCAGCUAAUAAAAGAAUACCAGAAUCAGUAAGAGGAAAUUUUGUAGGGCUGCAUGUAAUUCACUUUUUUUCAGAAUAUCUAUGUAAUGCGCCUUUGUGCAUGUAAAUGUAUUUGGGAUAUGUAUUUUAAAACAUAUAAAACGGCUCUUAUAGGAGAAACAUGAUUAAUUGUAAUCAUUUCUCUUUAUGCUACCAAAUGGUCCUCUUUGCUUAAAGUUCAAUGGCAAAUUUUUAAUGUUAAAUUGAGGAAUAGAUCAAAUUCAACAAUAAAGCAGUCGAAAAGUACACGAAAGAGGGCGGAGCGGGAAUAAGGUGGGAUAUUUGUACCAUAACUAGGGAAAGCAAUUUAUGUUGCAAUUAGUCACCCCUUGUCUCCACGAAUUGUCCAAGGCUGUUCAACUUCAAGUGAGCGUAAGACUCUCUCAAUACGAGGUACCAAAAUUCUGGCAGGACUUGGUUUCGUAUUCAUGUAUUCUACACUACAAACCGGACGCGUCAUCAGUUUGCUUAGAACUGAAGUUUGGAAAAUGAUUUACAUUGCUAGUUAAACCCAGGGGUGAAUGAAUGAAUAAUUACAUAAAAUUGAAUGAAUGAUAAAUAAAACGACCAAGAAAGGUUUGAUAUGCUAAACAAGAUAAACACAUGCUAGUAUAUUAAGUUUGCAUAAGAAUUAUAAGAUAAAUUUACAUGCAGGUGCUUGGUCUUUGGUGAAUAUGAGGACACACUUAAUUUUCACAUAAAUCAUACAAUACGCCUCUGAUGUACAUGUACAAAUGUAUAGAGAAAAGAUGCGGUGGGAUUGUCAAUGAGACCACAGAACAUGGAUGUAAGCAACUAAAUUUAAAUGUUUGCAUGUUCUUCCUUUAUAAUUAUUGUAAACUUGACAAAACAGGAGCCAUAUUAUGAAGGCAAAGUAAUUAGAGUUCGGAAAUUCCCUGUUGGUGACACAAAGAGAUGGGAGGGAAGGGUGACCUAAACACAUAGGCGAUGAAUAAAUCAUUAACAUUUUCCACUAAAGGGUUAUUCUAUUGGAUCAUACAUGUAUAUAGUACAUAUGUUUUCAUCAUCACAUUUACUAACUUUUCGAUUCUUUCUGAAUGAUUGGUGAACGUUCCAUUUCAAAGCUGUAUUCUUGGAUGUGCAGGCUUUCUGUGAUAAACUACUAACAUUAACUCAACCUUAAAGUGCUGAUUUAAUUCUUGCAUGUAUAUAUAGACAUUAUGUAUUAAGAUUUGCUUACUUUGUAUUGUUUGAGUUCUGACAUUGUGAUAGUUGUAGACGUUAUAAACUACAUUGUAAUCCUCAUUAAUCACACACUAUUUGAUAAGAUUGUAUACAUGUACAUAUUGUGUUUACCUUAAUAUCAUUUGUACUGCUAGAAAUACAAAAUGAAAUUAUUAAUGCUUUUUAUAGAAAACAUGACGUUAUUAUAUGUUAUCCAUCAUUUAUCACUCGCUAAUAUAACAUUGUAUGCAUGUAGAUAUUUUGUAUGCUUCAUUACCUAGAAAAU